CCUACGGGAGGCAGCAGUGGGGAAUAUUGCACAAUGGGGGAAACCCUGAUCCAGCAACGCCGCGUGAGUGAGGAAGUAUUUCGGUAUGUAAAGCUCUAUCAGCAGGGAAUAGAAAAGAAGGUACCUGAAAAAGAAGCCCCGGCUAACUACGUGCCAGCAGCCGCGGUAAUAAGUAGGGGGCAAGCGUUAUCCGGAUUUACUGGGGGUAAAGGGAGCGUUGACGGAAAGGCAAUUCAGAGGUGAAAACCGAAGGCGCAAACACGGGACUGCUUUUGAAACUGUAAAACUAGAGUACGGGAGAGGUAAGUGGAAUUCCGAGUGUAGCGGUGAAAUGCGUAGAUAUUAGGAGGAACACCAGUGGCGAAGGCGUCUUACUGGAUCGAAACUGACGUUGAGGCUCGAAAGCGUGGGGAGCAAACAGGAUUAGAUACCCCGGUAGUC
rnacentral:rRNA from 1 species